CCUUUGCCUGCCUGGGGCCUUCCAAAGGUUUGUGGCUUCAUCCCUGAGGGAAAGGCACAGUGGGACAGCUGCAUCCUGAUCCUUGAUGGGAGGAAGGUGAAGAUACACCCUGGGAGAUCUUCAAAGCAGCCCUGGGAAAAAGAACUGUGCAGCAAACUAAUCUGAUCAUUGUCAUUGGCAGCCAAAUUCCUCUCAGUUGUAAACUUACAGACUGAAGCCAGGAUCAUCCAGGAUAUGGGAAGCUGGAAAGCCAAGAGCUGUGUUUAACUGAUGUUUCUGCACACCACAGGGGUGUGUGUGUGAAAGGAAGAAAAAGGUUGGUGGCAA